rnacentral:rRNA from 1 species
UCGACCUUAGUUGCCAGCAUUCAGUUGGGCACUCUAAGGUGACUGCCGGCUAAAAGUCGGAGGAAGGUGGGGAUGACGUCAAAUCAUCAUGCCCCUUAUGACCUGGGCUACACACGUGCUACAAUGGGCGGUACAAAGGGUCGCGAACCCGCAGGGGGAGCCAAUCCCAAAAAGCCGCUCUCAGUUCGGAUUGCAGGCUGCAACUCGCCUGCAUGAAGCCGGAAUCGCUAGUAAUCGCGGAUCAGCAUGCCGCGGUGAAUACGUUCCCGGGCCUU